CUUCAACCACGAUAGCUAUGUCACAAAAUUCUCCUUCCAAACGUUGUUCAUUUAAUGUUUUCAAGAACACAGUUUUGUGAUCGUCAUCAUUAUAUUUAAUGGUUUCAGACAUACUGAUGAAAAACUCCAUGAACAAUGCAGGAAAUUUUCUGAACAAACAAUUAUUAAAUAUUUGACGGAUGAUUAACCCUUACAAUAGGCCACCUUCAGCCUGCCGCCCGCGCGCGCGCGGAACCGGGGAGCGCGGGGGGCCGCCGCCGUCCGCCGCUGCCGCCGCGCGGGACGGGGAGAGGGGACCGGGGAGGGGGAAGGGAGAGGGAGGAAGGGAGGAGGGGGAGUGUGGGGAGGGGGCCGGGGGGGGGUCUGCGCGCGUCUCUCCGGCCGCCACCGCCGCCUCCUGCACGAGCACUCAGUGCGCGCGCGCGCGCCGGGGGCGGGGGGGGGGGGAAGGGGGAGCGUGCAUGCGCGGUGCGAGCAGGGCGCGCCGGGCCGGGAGCGUGGCGGAGGCGGGGGCGAGAGCAGCGGGCGCGCUCCCCGCACUCCCCCCCCCUCCCCCCGCUUCCUCCCCCCCCAUUCCGUUCCGCUUCCAUCGGCCCUCCGUGCUCCUGUGAAAGGAGGAAGGAAGGAGGAGAGAAGCGCGCAGAGGCGCUCGGAAACAGCCCUUAGCCCGGCGGGAGCUGAGGGAACCGCUUGCGCCGCGGGCACCCGCCCCGCCGCGCCUGCGUGUGUACGUGUGUGUGCGUGUGUGUGUGUGCGAGCGAACCCAGCGGCGAGCGGGGCGCGGGCUCGGCCCCGAGCGGGGCGCGGGAGGCUGCGGGGUGUGGGGGAGGGAAGCCGCCGUUGGGCGGCGCUGGCGAGGCGAGGCCGCGCGCCAGGCACUGCAGCGGGCGGGAAGGGCGCUCGCGCCCGGCGGCGGCGGCGGCGCGGGAGCGUGAAGCUGCGGAGAGGGGGAGGGCGGAGUCGUGCCCGCAGCGGCGGGGCCGCGGCUUCUCAGCUCUCCGCCGUCGCGCGGUUAGCUGAGACGGGAUGCUGAAAGGCCUUGUCCGGAGGGCACGCCUCGGCUUUUAGGGGCACAGAAGCACAGAAUGGUUUGGGUUGAAAGGGACCUUAAUGCCCACCCAGUCCCACCCCGUGCCGUGGGCAGGGCUGCCCCCCAGCACCUCAGCUGCCCAGGGCCCCAUUCAACCUGGCCUUGAGUGCCUCCAGGGAUGGGGCACCACAGCUUCCCUGGGCAGCUGUGCCAGCGCCUCAGCCCUCUGUGAAUAAAAUCUUCCUAGCCUAACCCGAAUUUCCCCUCUUCUAGUUUAAAUCUAUUCCCCCUUGUCCUAUCGCUAUCAAACUGUGUGAAAAGUUGGUCCCUCUCGUGCUUGUAAGCCGCCCUCAAGUAUUGGAAGGCCGCAGUGAGGUCUGCACAGAGGCUUCUAGCUAAACAAGCCCAGCUCCCUCAGCCUUUCUUCACAGGAGAGGUGCUCCAGCCCACUGAUCGUCUUUGUGGUCCUGUUCUGGACCUGCUCCAACAGCUCCACAUCCCGCCUGCGCUGGUGGCCCCAGGCCUGAGUGUAGUGCUCCAGAUGGGGGUCGAGGAAGGCAGAGCAGAGGGGGACAAUGCUCUCCCUAUCCCUGCUGGUCACCCCUCUUCUGAUGCAGCUCAGGAUACGGUUGGCUUUCCAGGCUGCAAGCGCACACUGCUGGCUCAUGUCCAACUUUUCAUCCAUCAGAACCCCCAGGUCCUUCUCCCCAGGGCUGCUUUCAGUUUCUUUUCUUGUCUUGGUCUGUAUUCAUAUCUGGGAUUGCCCUGACCCAAAUGCAACAGCUUGCACUUGACCUUGUUGAACCUUAUUAGGUUCCUUUGGGCCCACUUCUAAACCCUGUCCAGAUCCCUCUGGAUGGUAUUCCUUCCUGUGCGUUCCGUGCAUCUAAACGCCUACAAAGCCAGUGCAGAAACUGCUCUUAGAGACACUUCAGUUGUUUAAAUAUCCAUUGCUUAGAGUUUCAGAGAAACAAUUCACCUACUACAGGCAUGUCCGGCCCAUGGGCUGAGAUCUGCUCUACUCAUAUAAAGGGUUGAGUAUUUGGUAGCACUUUUCCUCUUAUCACUGAGAAAUGUGAAUUCAACCACUCCGUGAUCAAUAUGGUAAAGACAGUUACCAAACACUACUUCACCCAUUAGACAUUCUCUGAUCACAAGUAAAAAAUCUAGGAGAGCACACACCUGCAUCUGCUUGCAAGUCAUAAGUGCUUCUAAACCAUUGUACAGUCUUGACUUGUUUGUUUGUUUUAUGGCUUGUUUGGUUAGAAGUAAAGUUAGAGUUUGGAACUCUGUUCUGGUGGUCCUCAGAUCUUUUGUGUUCUGUUACGUUUUUAUUUUUUAGCAUUUCCCGUAUGAUUGUAGAUGAGUUGGGUUGGGUUUUUUUGGUUUUUUUUUUUUUUUUUUUGGCAACUCUAUUAUGAUUGCAUGACUUCAUAGCUGUUUAAUGAAAGGUAUCUGUUCUCCUUUUUGUUUUUCUUUCAUUUUUAUUACUUGAUCUGUGUUUCCAGCCAUUCUUCUCAGACCUUGUCUGCAGUUUCAUUUUUUAGGCAGUUACUGGAAUUUUUUUUUUCCAUUCCUAACUGGAGUAGAAAUCAAGCAUUUAUUGUAUUUAUUCAUUGUCAUAGUCAAGAAACAAUAGUUUAGUGCCAUUGAAAAAAGAAAAAAAAACAAUGAAAUUCAUGUCUUAAUAAAACAAUUACCAAUUUCUCUUUGAACUUAAUAAAUGGAGUAGGAAAUCAUAUAUUUACUCAAUUUGCUUCUAUGUAAUUACAUUUCACUUGGUCCUGUUCCACAUCUGUACUAGCAAGGGCUGUGAAAGCCACACUGUAUUGGGUUUUCUCUUGCAUUAACAGUGUAUUGAGAAUUUUUCUCUGUAUGCCCCUCAAUUACAUUCUCUAUCCUAUUCAAUUAAGUAUCAUCCAUUAUUGCAUUUUCCUAGUACGUUUUAACAAUAUUUUUGAGAGAAUAUAUUUUAGUAUUCUUACUUUCUCUUUUUCUUUAUUUAAACAUUGCACAGUCAUCUUCUGGUCACUUCCUAUAGAUAAAUAAUCUUCUACACACAUGUUUUUUUUAACCAACACCUAAGACCUAUCCUAGUAAAUAAAAAAAUCUUUGUUCCUGUACACAGUCUUUGUUGGUCUUCUCUGAAGAGUCAAAAGCAUUCAUGACACCUGUAUCACUUUGAAUAAGCAAAGGAUUUUUAUCGUAUUUCUCAAAUUCUAUAUUCAACAGUCGUAUAAUAAAUCUUAAACCAAUAGUUUCUUUUCUGCUUAUUGAAAUACUGUAAACUCAUAAAUAAGAUCAUUUUGAUCUUCCUCUGUAUGAUCGGUCAUUUAGUCAGGAAAUACUACACAGAUGUAUGGCUACAGCACUGAAUAAAGCAAAAAAAUCCCAACAGUUUUCAUAAUCAGAAUAUACAGUGCAAGGGUAUAUAGAAACAUGGAACUUAGUAUGAAUAUUUACUUUACAAGUUGCAGAGAUGCCCGUGACAAAUACUUUCAUUCCCUGCAUAAUCUUAAACAGUCCUGGAGGCUGUAGUGAUAAUGCUAAACAAUGUGUAGAUUAUUUCAAUGCGAAAAUCAUCAGUGAUAUUAAAACAGACACUUAUGUACAUAGUUCUGAAGUUUACAAUUGUGUUUAAUCUUAUUAAUCAUUUACAUGAUAAUUAACAAUUAAGAGUUAGAUCUUUUUUAUUUCUUAAAGAUUUAAAAAAAAUCAUGUAAAUAUGUGUAUCAAAACAACAUUGGCUGUAUCAAUGUAAACAGUAAGAAACUUCUAUGUGGUUAAAAUGAUGACAUCUCCAAUACUUAUUCAUCUUAGAAGACUGACUGUUCAUUUUACAUCAGAUGAAAAAUUAGCUUUGCUUUACUUCAUUUUACUAGUGGAAAUCACUGUGGCAGGUCAUGGAAUUUACAGAGCUGGGAAAAGGACAGGACAAUAUUGUGUGUGUUAAAGAACUAGAGGGGAUUUUUGUGUGUGUGUGUAAUUGUUUUUCCUCCAUCAUAUAGUCUACUACUUGAGUAAAAUGAAGAUUUUAUGGCCUACUUUUAAACAGUGAUUUGAAAAUCACAAUGCAAUACAUAAACAGCCCAUUAGUACAUUCAUUUAGAUUUUCAGUGUUAAAAUUGUGCAGCACGAGACAUUUUGAUGCGCUACAAGCAGAUUCCUCAAGAGCACAACAUGCAAAUGGUAUUGCCUACAGUAGCGUAUAUUUUUGCACAGAAUGAGAAUUUGCUCUAUCUAGUAGUGUUACUGUGCUCUUUACGUCUGACAUAGUUUCCAUGGAAAUAAAUAGGAGGCAUUACUUUCUGUGUGGCCCAAGACAAUUCCUCUUGGCUCCGUGCAGCCCAAGCAAGCCAAAAUGUUGGACACCCGUGACCUACUAGAAAGAAAUACAAGCAAUUACUGCAUCAUCCAUCUUCCACCUCUUUGCUUUCGUAAACCAUUUGUGAGAUGCUAAUGUGAUGGUGCAGCAUUCAGUGAAAUGAUAUGUGAGGAUAUACCGUGUUUAAAAUGUCACAAUGUCCUUCUGAACGUGAGCAUGUUGUGCUAGGCUUCUGAAAUAGAAGACAAAAGGUCAAGAUCACAGGUCCAAUAAAAAGAGCUAGAACUGAAAAUAUAGAAGGUAAAACGUAAGAACAAGAAAAUGCAAGAACUGGAAAACACAUCUCUACCAGCAUGUCUGUGGGUUGGUAUAUAUCAUGUCGCUUUGCCAAAAGGAAGCGUUCUUUCAGUCUACUGGAAAAUACCCUUCUGCAGGAAAAGUGUGACCAGGAGGCAAAAAUGUCCUGAUUCUAUGUCUGAACAAAACACUCUUCCUAUGAAAUUGCCCUGUACCCAGCUAACUGAGAUUAAUACUCAGGCUUUGAAGUAGAUUCACUGUUUUUUAUCUGAUGCAGCAGACUGUGGGUACUGUGGAACUGUUGAACUAGCGGGCUGUUUCCAGACUGUUUUCAUUGCGGGGAUAUCUGUAGGGAAAAAGAGACCUUUGUAGAAUGGACUUGUUGGUUUAGAACGAGUCCAUCCUGCAUAGCGGGAGUGUAGAAUGACAAGUGCCACAUUCUACAGCCACUGGGAGAUACCAGGCAAGAAAUGCUGAAGAUUUGUUUCUAAAGUGUUGAAAAUGGUGACUAGCUUUAAAAUAUGUAUUUAAGAGUCAGGGUGUUCUUGUGCGUUUGUGGUGUUUAUAAAGUCUGUAUGAGUUACGGUGAUAUGAACAUCAUAAUAUUGUAGCCUGUUAUGAAUACACUGCCAUUAUUCAAAUUCCACCUUAGUCUUGCAGAAAUUGUCAUCAUACAAGGACAUAGAUUUCCACGUGAUAUUUGGAUAUCACAUGGAGUUGGAUAUUUCAUCAUGCAGAGCUGGCAAGAGAAAACAAAAGUACAAAACGUCCAGUAUUUGUGAAAGGGAAUCACUGAGCCUGUUGGCAUAAUCCCACACGUCAGCAAGGACUGUCCAUGUCUCUAUAGAGUACAAGUGAAUGUCCUGGAACUGAGGAGGACAGUCACUGAGCAGAUGCUCCUUGCAGAGUGUGUUACUCGUAGCAACCUGGCAAAUUUCCCAGCACAAAUUUACAUGUGACUCAGUCAUGUUUUUGCAUCAUUCACUCAAUUCUGUCUUUUCAAGCAUCUACAGAAUAGUAGAGACAAAUGAGGAGGAGCAGAACACAGGUGAUGGAGGUUGGUGGCACAACCCUCGGCACCACUGCAUCAGUAGAAGAGAAGUUGAUACCAUCUUGCCACUCCACCAACGGAGCUGUGCCAGUGUUUGCACCUAUGCUAGAAGGCACACAAGUCCUUUCUAGUGGCAGAAUAAUAAUUAUACUGCACACCUCAUUACUGACACUGUCAGACUCUCUGUUUCUGUCUCCUCCUUGUCCUUUUUUAAUAUAUACUUCUUGACGUUGAUGGGUUUUGCAUGCCAUUUCUUUACUCAUUUUUUUUCCCCCACAAUUUCUUCUCUGUAUCACUACUAUCCUCUCAUUUUCCCUUUCCCUUCCUAUCAGUUUUCUAAAACUCCUGAGUCUGUAUGACAUCCUUGUCUGAUUCAAACCAUGCAGGGAGUGAGAGAAGAAAGAUGAAUGCCACUUUCCAAUGCCAAGUGUCAGAGGUAUAUAAUGAAAACUUCAAUUUCUUGCAUCUUGUAUCACCAUAUUCCUGCCUUAUGCAUUUUUGACCUCAGUAACGUGGUACUGGUGCUAGGUAGUGACUCAAGGGAGCAACAGUGUUUAGUAUCAUUCACAGAAACCAAUGAAAAGAGGAAACUGAACACAUGUGAGAUGUCCCGGAGAAGAAAGAAAGUGUGCUGCAAGGCAUAUUUGUUCAACAUGCAGUUAACAGAAGGAACUGCCAUUUUGUGAACUAUUUACUUGGUGUCCAGUUUGUUUGCUUAAGAAGGGUAGACAAUUUUUUUUUUUUUAAAUUUAAAUAAAUGAUAUUCUAGUGUGAGAGAAUGGGCAGAGGGGUUACCAAAUUACUGUGACACUUUGUUUAACAAAACACAAAGGCAAACUUCCUAUUAGCAGCCUUCACUCUAACUACACCGCUACAUAACAGAAAUGAUUUCUUAUGCUUUCCUCCUCAUGUCUCUUCCAUAAUACAAGCAAUAUAAAAUCAACACCAUGGCAGAAAGAGGCUCAAAUUCUGAAUUUGUAAGAUUUUUUUUUUUUUUUUAUGUAGCAGUUAAUUUGUGGAUGUUUUUCUAAACAAUUGAAUGUAUAUUGGGAAUUGCAUGCUUGAAGACAUAGAGGUGGAGAGAUUUGUACAGUGAACAAGUUGUGCAGUUCUUUGCAUGAGAUUCUGUUGAGUGUUAAUGGGGUUUUGUACACACUUGCUGGUAGCUACUAACUUUCACUUUUUAAAUAACUGAAAAUUGUACAGUGAAGGACAUUUUGCUGAGUAAUAAAUUUUACACAUUUCAAUCUUUUUCUCUAAGGAGAUUAGAAUGUUUUUAGCCUGUUAACACCUUCAAUUUCGAUCUCACUGUUGAAUAGGAACAUUUGUUGAAAUAGUGGAAACAAUGUUAUGAUAAUAAAGCAGAAUUCAAAACUGAUCUCAUCCAGUAGCAAAGACAUAAAAGAUGGCUGAAAAAAAAAAAUCACCCCAAGAAAACAUCACCACAUUAUUUGGACUGAGCUGGAUUUGGGUUAGAGGCAAAAAACCCUCAGUGCUCUGUCAGAACUGUUAAAUAUCAGUGAGUGUAACCUGCUUAAGAGUAAGAAUUAGAUAAAGGGAAGAAAGGAAGAAGUGUUUGAUUUAUUUGGAGGGAAUAAAUGAGCCUAGAAAGCUAAAAAAGUUAUCCUGCGUACUUAAUGGUUGAAAAAAAAAAAACAAAACAAUUUUCUCAGGUCCAUGACAAACUCAAAACCUUCAUGAUAUGUCAUGACAAACAUAGAAGAAGGACUAUCUCCUGCACCUCCUUCUCUUCCCCAGACUAGCAGUCACUUUGAUUGUAUUAAGUAUGGCAUUGUUUUACGUUGUCAGCCAUCUAAACUAAUUUCCAUCAACUUACCUUCUAAACAAAGACAUACAUAAAGUAACAGCAUACACAUAAAUGGACACUGAAGUUCCUCUGGUGCUUACUCUUGAUUACAGUACAUCAGAGAAGAACAAGACUCACACGUUGCCUGCCUACUCUGAAAUGUAACUAAUUUGCAUCAGCAAAUUACGAUACUGCUUUUGGCUGACAUUUUUGGUUUCAGAGUUACAGGAGUUCUGCAGAAGAUGGCAGCCUCAGAUGUUUCUCAAGCAGAGGAGGAGAAACAGGGAAAAAAAAAAAAAAAAGGGAAACAGCUAAGGAUAUGAGGAAGUCAAAGGGGGAGCACAAAUCUGAUGCCGGUCUGCGUGAAUCUGGUAAAAGCAGUGGGACUGGCUCCCAUCCCAGCUUGGACUGGUCAGAGUUGUUCCCAGAGUCAGCACCUGUGGAGAAAGGCCCAGUGCUUCCAUUAAGGACCCUGGCCUUGCAGCAGUGGCAGGUCCCAUGGAGCACACAUGUUACCAUCUGUAUCCUCUUUCUUCUGCAAGUGCAAUUAGGGCUUGUGAUUCAAAUAGUUUGGUUUCUUAUUUGCUGUUGGAGUACAGCACACAUUCCUUUGUUGGGAAAAGCAUGCAAGGAAAAAGAAAAGGGAGAAAAAUACAGCUUCAGGAUUUUUUAGGGGCUCCAGGAAGUGUUUUGCAGUGAGACACCUUAAAAGCACAAGCUAUUUCCCUUCCUCAACGAGAAUACAUUAGGAUGACUGGAUUAUAGUGACAAAGACACUUACUUAACUUAAUGGAGAGAAAAUACCAGUUGAAUGAAGGGAUACUUAGUCCAUAGAUGAAAAACCUGAAUUGCCUAUAACUGGAAGCUCAAACCAUGAAUCCAUUCAGAUAGGCAAUGAUGCAUGUAUAUUUUGAACAGAGGGAAUGAUUAACUGUUAGAGCAAAGUAGCAAGAAAACUAAUGGAUUCUCCAAUUUUUGAAAUCCUUAAGUGGAAAAUGAACGUCUUUUAAAGUUAUACUUGGUCGCACACUAGUUAAUUGUCUCAGAGCAAAAUUAGCAAGUGACAUUGUGUCCUGUUUUCCAAGGGAAGACAAAUUAGAUGACUGUAAUUGUUCUGUGUAGCUUGCCAGUCUAUGAAAUACUUCAACUGCCAAAACCUUACAUUAGAAGAAAAAUUAUGCUUUAAAAUUGAUCACUCCAAGGGUAAGAUGGCAGAAAUAAGUCUACUCUGGUAGUCUUCACUAUGAUCCUCUGUGCAUUUUCAUUAUGAUGCACUCUUAACUGCUCAGUUACUUAGAUUUUCUUUACAAUAUGGACCAUUACCAAAGUCAUAAUCCUGAAUAUUUAAAAAUUACAGACUUCUGUUGUAUAGAUCUACAGGAUCUAUAGGAUUCUCUUCUUUCACAUGGGUUAGCCUUUAGGUGCAAUGAGGAACCAGUCACAUGAAGGGCUGGCAGAGUGGAAGGCACUUUGUAUCAGUAUCACAUGGAAGCGCGGAACUCUGAUCUUCCCAAGGGUAUGGGAAAUCUUAAUCUUCAAGGAGAGAGGAUACUCCAUUAGGCAUAUAUAUAUAUAUAUAAAGUGGGAUCAUGUAUCUUUGUUCUGUGUUAUAUUUCAGUAUGAAAAAAGAGAUUAACGUUUGUAGGAUUUGGUGAGUACAGAGAAGUUUACUGAGGCGUAAGCACAUAUACUGUAGGUAAGAAUGAUUUCCAUCACAUCAGAAAUAGCUGAGAAAGUCUUACGGAACAUUAGAAUUCAGCAUCAUAUUUAAGGAAAGUUAUAGUUAGUAUUGUCAAAGAACAAUGAUCAGCAACCAUUUAUCAGCACAUCAGUAGUACGCACUUGCAGCCCAGAAGGCCAGUCAUAUCCUGGGUUGCAUCAAGAGAAGCAUGACCAGAAGAUUGAGAGAGAUGAUUAUACCCCUCUGCUCUGCUCUUGUCAGACCCCACUUGGAGUACUGUGUCCAGUUCUGGGGCCCCCAGCAUAAGGACAGGGAGCUGUUGGUGUGGGUCCAGAGGAGGGCGACAAAAUGAUCAGAGGGCUGGAGCACCUCCCAUACAAGGACAGGCUGAGCUGGGACUCUUCAGCCUGGAGAAGAGAAGCCUUUGAGGGGACCUAAUAGCGGCCUUCCAGUACCUGAAAGGGCCUACAGGAAAGCUGGGGAGGGACUUUUUACAAGGGCAGAUAGUGACAGGACGAGGUGAAAUGUCUUUAAACUGGAAGAGGGUAGAGUUAGACUGGAUAUUAAAAAGAAAUUCUUUACUGUAAGGGUGGUGAGACACUGGAACAGAUUGCCCAGAAAGGUUGUGAAUUCCCCCUCCCUGGAAGCAUUCAAGGCCAGGCUGGAUGGGGCUUUGAGCAACCUGGUCUAGAGGGAGGUGUCCCCACCUAUAGCAGGGCGGUGGAACUAAAUGAUAUUAAAGGUCCCUUCUGACCCAAACCAUUCUAUGAGUCUGUGAUUUUGUCUGCAGGAAUCAUCCCCCUGUGUAGAUAUUUUGAAUAAUCUCCUGAAUACAUCCAAAUUAAUAAUUGUGUCUUUUAGUUCAAAAACGUAUCUGGAAGGAAAAGUUCUGGAAAGGGUUAAUAGAUUUGAGCUAUGAUCAAUAUAUAUAUAUAUUUUUUUUUUGUGCAAUCUUCAACAAAUUGCCUUGUCCCAGUUUUCUAAGUUUUUGAGGACUGCAAAGAUGAAUACAUCAAAGAGAUGAUGAGCAGAAAAUACUGUUAAGAUAACAUAACUUCAGUAGCACCAGGUGAACAAAAGUACCAAAAACAGAGAUGCAAUGCCUACAGCAUAAAAAAGGUACGAUACAAUAGAUAUGGCGAAAAAAAAAAAUCAAUUUGUAAUUGGUCUGCUACAGCAGGAGGUUAUAGUACUCUGAGGAAACAUUUGAGUUUUCCAAUUCUGAAGUGCCUGUGUAAAAGGGGGAAAUUGAAAGAGAUCCAUAGAAUAUAUCUGCCAAGCACUAGAUUAAUGGUUAGCUGUGGUGUACUACUUCUCCUAGCUAGACUUUCUCUGAGGACUGUGUUGCUUCUGCAGCUUUAGGAUUAUCAGACUUUAUGCCCAAACAUGUUUUUCUUACCAUCCUGCUUGAUUAAGGUUCUUUCAGCUGUUUGUGUCCCCAGUACAAGCGUGUGCAUUUUGUAAACUGACGCACG
rnacentral:lncRNA from 1 species